GACGAUAAGACCCUUUGAAUCUUAAAUAAAUUUAUUAAAAUUAUUAUUAAGUAAUUAUAAAAAUAUUUUAUAUAUUUUGUUUUAUUGGGGUGAUAAGAAAAACAAAAACUAUUUUUGUAAUAACAUUUAUUAAUGAAUAAUAAUAAAUUAAAUUUAAAAAUUUAUAAAAAGUUACUCUAGGGAUAACAGCGUAAUUUUUUUUAAAAGUUCUUAUUAAUAAUAAAGUUUGCGACCUCGAUGUUGAAUUAAAAUGUUAUUAUAGUGCAGAAAUUAUAAUAGUGAGUCUGUUCGACUUUUAAAAUUUUACAUGAUUUGAGUUCAGACCGGUGAAAA
rnacentral:rRNA from 1 species